AUCCUGAUUCAGGGAGGCAGUGACAAGAAAUAACAACUUUCAACUUUGUUGAAAAGUGUAAUGAGGAUAAUUUACAAACCUUACCGAAAGCAAUUGGAGGGCAAGUCUGGUGCCAGCAGCCGCGGUAAUUCCAGCUCCAAAAGCGUAUAUUAAAGUUGUUGCAGUUAAAAAGCUCGUAGUUGAAGUUCUGGCUGUAUUGGGCCUUAGCACUUGAUGCGGAGGAACCAGCAGUCAUCCGCUUGCAAAUACAUGUCCUUCCUUAACCGGUAGGCUGUAUAAGUAAGCACUUUACCUUGAGAAAAACAGAGUGUUCCAGGCAGGUUUGUCCGGAAUGCGUUAGCAUGGAAUAAUAGAAUAUGACUGAAGUCGAUUUAUUGGUUUAAGGCUUUAGUAAUGAUUAAUAGGAACAAUCGGGGGCAUUGGUACUUGUCAGUCAGAGGUGAAAUUCUAGGAUUUGACAAAGACUAACUGAUGCGAAAGCGUUUGCCAAGAAUGUUUUCAUUAAUCAAGAACGAAAGUUAGGGGAUCAAAGACGAUCAGAUACCGUCCUAGUCUUAACUAUAAACUAUACCGACUCGGAUUCAGAUGAAUUUUAAAGUUCAUUUGGGACCGUAGGAGAAAUCAAAGCCUUUGGGUUCUGGGGGGAGUAUGGUCGCAAGGCUGAAACUUAAAGGAAUUGACGGUUUUGCACCACCAUGGAGUGGAGCCUGCGGCUUAAUUUGACCCAACACUGGGAAACUCAUCAGGGCAAGAAGAUUUUAGGAUUGACAGAUUGAGAGUUCUUUCUUGAUUGGUCUAGUGGUGGUGCAUGGCCGUUCUUAGUUGGUGGAGUGAUUUGUCUGGUUAAUUCCGUUAACGAACGAGACCUUAACCUGCUAACUAGUACUUUGAUUUUCAAUCGGAGUUACUUCUUAGAGGGACUAUGUGAGUAAUCACAUGGAAGUUUGAGGCAAUAACAGGUCUGUGAUGCCCUUAGAUGUCCUGAGCUGCACGCGCGCUACAAUGACACAUUCAGCGAGUAUUUCCUGACCCGAAAGGGCUCGGGUAAUCUUUUCAGUGUGUGUCGUGAUAGGGAUAGAUCUUUGUAAUUAUGGAUCUUGAACGAGGAAUUCCUAGUAAGCGCACGUCAUCAGCGUGUGCUGAUUACGUCCCUGCAAAAUGUACACACCGCCCGUCGCUAUUACCGAUUGGGUGUAUAGGUGAACCUUCUCGAUAGCCGCAAGGCUAGAAAUUAAGUAAACCUUUGCACCUAGAGGAAAUAAAAGUCGUAACAAGGUUUCCGUAGGUGAACCUGCGGAAG
rnacentral:rRNA from 1 species